CCUACGGGAGGCAGCAGUGAGGAAUAUUGGUCAAUGGACGAGAGUCUGAACCAGCCAAGUAGCGUGAAGGAUGACUGCCCUAUGGGUUGUAAACUUCUUUUAUAUGGGAAUAAAAUGUUCCACGUGUGGGAUUUUGUAUGUACCAUAUGAAUAAGGAUCGGCUAACUCCGUGCCAGCAGCCGCGGUAAUACGGAGGAUCCGAGCGUUAUCCGGAUUUAUUGGGUUUAAAGGGAGCGUAGGUGGAUUGUUAAGUCAGUUGUGAAAGUUUGCGGCUCAACCGUAAAAUUGCAGUUGAAACUGGCAGUCUUGAGUAGAGUAGAGGUGGGCGGAAUUCGUGGUGUAGCGGUGAAAUGCUUAGAUAUCACGAAGAACUCCGAUUGCGAAGGCAGUUCACUGGACUGCAACUGACACUGAGGCUCGAAAGUGUGGGUAUCAAACAGGAUUAGAUACCCCAGUAGUC
rnacentral:rRNA from 1 species